CAUUCCCCUCCCCCUCCUCCUCCUCCUCCUCGUCCCCCCGUCCCCUCCCGCUGCGGCCUCUCGCCCAGGCCCGGGGUGGGGGGGGGAGAGAGUGACGUCAACGUGGCGGGAAACACAAGCACACGGACAGGGAGGGGCGGGGCAGUCGGCCUGGUCCCGCCCAUCACCCUGUGACUGACAGGUUUUUGAACAAGGAUCUAGGGCCUCCUUGGAAUAAUGGCAGAGUGGCGCAGCGGUUAGAACCUCACAGCUCCAGAGACCCCGACCUCAGGCACUGUCUGUGUGUGUUUUCCACGUUCUCCGUGACUGCAUGGGAUUUCACCACAUCCCAAAGGCGUGCCGGUUUGUAGGUUAAUUAGCCUCUGUAAAUUGUCCCUAGCGUGUCCGGAAUGGUUGUGAAAGUGGGAUAACAUACAACUAGUGUGAACGGGUGAUCGAUGGUUAGCAUGGACUUGGUGGGCUGAAAGGCCUGUUCCCGUGCUAUAUCUUUCAAUGGUUCAAAGAAGAAAGCCAAAGUUUCGUGCAUGCAAGUUUGCACUCAGGGUGCAAAAUGUCUAAGCAUAAUGUGAAAAUACAUGCAGUCACCAUCUCUGUUAGAAAUUCACUAACUUUUACUCACGAAAGGGCCAGUUAGUUGGGCAGCUUUUUACCAAUUCCCAUACUAAAUGGUAGAUUUAAACAGGAAUUAACACUAGAUGUCAUAUUGAUUUAAUAAAUUCAAAAUGCUACAACA